rnacentral:rRNA from 1 species
UGCNAGUCGAACGGCAGCGCGGGGGCAACCGUGGCGGCGAGUGGCGAACGGGUGAGUAAUAUAUCGGAACGUACCCAAGAGUGGGGGAUAACGUAGCGAAAGUUACGCUAAUACCGCAUACGAUCUAAGGAUGAAAGCAGGGGAUCGCAAGACCUUGUGCUCCUGGAGCGGCCGAUAUCUGAUUAGCUAGUUGGUGGGGUAAAGGCCCACCAAGGCAACGAUCAGUAGCUGGUCUGAGAGGACGACCAGCCACACUGGAACUGAGACACGGUCCAGACUCCUACGGGAGGCAGCAGUGGGGAAUUUUGGACAAUGGGGGCAACCCUGAUCCAGCAAUGCCGCGUGAGUGAAGAAGGCCUUCGGGUUGUAAAGCUCUUUUGUCAGGGAAGAAAAGGCUGUGGCUAAUAUCCACAGCUGCUGACGGUACCUGAAGAAUAAGCACCGGCUAACUACGUGCCAGCAGCCGCGGUAAUACGUAGGGUGCAAGCGUUAAUCGGAAUUACUGGGCGUAAAGCGUGCGCAGGCGGUUUCGUAAGUCUGUCGUGAAAUCCCCGGGCUUAACCUGGGAAUGGCGAUGGAGACUGCGAAGCUAGAGUUUGGCAGAGGGGGGUAGAAUUCCACGUGUAGCAGUGAAAUGCGUAGAGAUGUGGAGGAACACCGAUGGCGAAGGCAGCCCCCUGGGUCAAAACUGACGCUCAUGCACGAAAGCGUGGGGAGCAAACAGGAUUAGAUACCCUGGUAGUCCACGCCCUAAACGAUGUCUACUAGUUGUUGGGUCUUAAUUGACUUAGUAACGCAGCUAACGCGUGAAGUAGACCGCCUGGGGAGUACGGUCGCAAGAUUAAAACUCAAAGGAAUUGACGGGGACCCGCACAAGCGGUGGANNAUGUGGAUUAAUUCGAUGCAACGCGAAAAACCUUACCUACCCUUGACAUGGCAGGNAUCCCGGAGAGAUUUGGGA